UCGGUGAAAAUACAGCAGAAGACAUCACUGUAAAGAGAGUUCCUAAGGGGUGUCUUCCUGACCAUAAAGGCGCUGUUGUAAAGAGUGUGUACUUUCUGAUCGGGACCACUUCUGUGUCAGCAAGAGGUGACUGACUGAGGCAGAGAAUCCUCAAGUUCAAGGCCAGCAAAACUCUCAAAGAUACCAGAGAUGGGGGCGGGGGGAAGAUGACCUACCAAGUAUCUACUGUUUUGUUUUUUACAUAAGCCAAUCUUUUACUAUAGUUGAAAGAAAUGAAAGAAGAAAGUAUUUUUAAAGCUUAAGACAGAAAUUAAAAAACAAAAGAAAUUCUCAAAGUGAUAAUUCACUUAUAUCUGUUUAAACAGAUCAAAUCUUCCAAAAAUCUUUAUUUAUUCUCUUUUUUACUCUAGUUUGUUUCUGGAAACUUCCUUCCAUUAUAUAAUCCUACACUACUCUUUUCUUCUCCAUUAGAUGUGUGAUCUGGACCAAGAUUAGGAGAUAAUGUUGGAGCUAGAGAAGGAGAGUGAAGCGGGGCCUCUAUAAAGGGUACAGAUAAAGACACACCAGUCUCUGGCCAGAGAGAGGUGUUAGGCUUUGGAAAGAAAACUGCUUUUAGGGUUUUGCCAGUUUGUUUUGUUCCUUUUAAUGUGCUUUCUCAAUAGACUCUUGAAAUGCUAACCUUGACUGUGCUGAAACAGAGAGAAAAGGGAUUUUCCCACACUGCUAGACUAGCUCUUGGUUUAUCAUCGGAUGAGGGAAGGCAGCAGGUAUCACCAGGUGCAGCAUGGGAGGUGAAAGGGGCCUCCUGGGAAGAGGCACAGGGAAGCUGACACUGACUGGGGCAGGUGUAGAAACAGCGCUCUCACCCCUGGGUCUUCUUCAAACCCAGUAAGAUUUCCUCAAGUAGUGUCUGCUUUUAUUCUUGCCCAACUCAAGUUACAGAAUUACUUCAUCCUGCGCAUCACUGGAGGCGGCUGCGUUCUGACAGGAUGAGGUGCCUAGCCGCGUUAGCAGCGUCCCCCCGGCAGUUCAGUUUACCCAGCAUGCUCGACGUUUCCAGGUUCUCUGCAAACCCAGUUUAAUUUUAGAGAGUGGGACCGUGGUGGGGGCUGUCUGCUUCUCUCCUGGGCGGUCUUUUUUCUUUCCUGGAUGCUUUCUAAUUUGUCUUCCCUCGAUACGAGUCCACUUGCAUAAUUCUAUUUGCACAGUAGAUUUUUAGUGUUGUUGAAAUACGAAUAUACUUUCAUCAUUUGUAUAAUCAGAUUGCUUUUCAAGGCCUGUUAAUAAUAGCAAUAAAACAACAACAACAAGAGAAUAGAUGACUGUCUCCUUCCUCCCCCGUCUUCCCAUUUCUGAAAGUAUGUUCACUUUUUAAAGGAUUUGUCCUCAUGUUUCCGAGAAGCACACCGUUUGCUUUUUCAGCCUUCAGACAUUUUUAGAUUGCACAUUAUAAGGAAGGCAAGGGUUUAGUUUCCUUUUUCUCUGUCUAGUGUCUUUCCACUUACAUUUUCUACAUAAACAAUGUAGACAAAAUCAUUUUUAUGUAAAAGCCGCUUAGAACUUGAGUCAUGUGGGAAAUACAAUUUUCUGUACUUUAUUUCACCACACAAUUGGCUUCACGUAAUUUCCUUAAUUUGGGUUUCCAUAGAUGCCUGUGUUAUUAUUCUUAUCCACCCGAAACUCAGUUUCUCCAUUCUCUAGUGUUCUCAAACUAAGCUUUUCCGUGUUGUUCAUCUUACCAAGCCUCUUACUCAUGUUCGUUCCCUAUUCCUUCCUCUUCUUCAUUCCAACGUUGAGUAAGGUUCCGGCCUUCAAGUACAGAGGGGUGAGCACCACCAGAGUGCGGAGAAUGGGCCUCAUCUCGAGAUUUCCCAGCUAUAGUGUCUCCCGUCCAUUACAGGCAAGAACCUGAAGCCAUGUGCUAGGAGAAAUCUCCCAGGCCUACCCCUCGGUGAAGGACUACAGGCAGUGAAUGGCUGCGGAGCCGGGAGAAUCAGUCUUCGCCUGGGAUAACCCCCUGGGUUGUUUUUGCGAAGUCCUGUGCAUUCCCGAGAGCAGUCACUAGAGGGCUCCCUGGGACACCUUUUGGAGCUGCCCCCUAGAGGUGGAGCUGGGAAAGGAAAGGCAAAACCGAAGGAGCCUCGGAGCCGAUUGGAAGCACAGAAGUGUUUGACCACUCAGCUUAGAGGCUAGGAAACCCAGCUGUCGUGAGCUGCUGCUACUGUGUGACCUGUCUCUCUAGAGGCGGGCAUGCGUGGCUGGCGUUUCUGUGAACAGCAUCUACUGCUGCUCGACAUGUGUCAGACAGGAGCAGUACACCGCGUGCCACCUCCUCCUUCGGCUCCUUCCUCUUGCAGAAGUUCACAGCCUUUCAUACCUUUUAUGUAACGCGCUGACAAAUGGAUAAUGUAAGCCGUUGAGACAGAGGCGUCCCAAAUAUGCUGACCAAGGCCAAGAGUCAGAGCAAACAGAAGUCGAAGCAUUUGUGUGAAGUGAUGACAGACAGAUCUAAUUCUUGAGGCAUCGGUGUGGCUCCACCUUAGACUAGAAACAAGGUAGGGGCUGCUGACUAGUACUCAGGUCACUGUGGGCAGCAGAUGGCUGCAACCUUCUGGUGCUUCCGGGUCACGCCUCUUCACUAGUUCACUGCUGAUGUCCACACCACGGUCCUCCCUCACUUCAAGGGCACUUCCAGUCAUACCAUGUGCCUGUCGGCCCUCUCCCUUCCCUCUAUCCUCUUAGAUGACAGAAAGCAAACUUUCACCAGCUGCCAGGCAAAGCUGAACCGUGUCUCCCACAAUGAAGAGUGACAAAAAUACAAACUUUUCACAUUAGGCAGGCAGAGGUGGUAUUGGACAGUGAACUGGAUUUCAUCCUAAAAAAAAAAUACGCAGCAGAAUUCUAUGAAGCUGCUGACAAUACUUUCACAUGGUGGGUUUUAAAAAAUAGCUGUGUUUCAGAUACAAAGAGUCCCUCAGUGGAGAAGGGGAUAUUUCUGAUAAAUGCACAGGUAUUGAUAAGACUAACAUAUGGCCAAGUUCAGUCUCAACACAGAUGCAAAAACUCUUCUACAACAUUCACUUUUGCCUGAAUUCUGUAUCAUUCCUUCUGAAACGAUAGCUGCUCACUUGUCUCUCACAGAAAGGCUUUCAGACAAAAUUCCAGACUUGCUGAGAUGUCAUACCACUGAACACGUCCAGACCUUUUAUCUUGUCAUGUUUCUCUAAAUACUAUCUACAGCUCUUCACACAGCGUUUCAACACAUUGGGUGUUAUGCCAUCUAGAAUCAAUCCGAAGUGAACAGGACGGUGGACUAGGUCACCCACCAAUACUGCACCAUUGGAAACUUCUUCCACAGUCUGGUAUUGUGAGGGUUCCUAGAACCAACCCCCCGAGGGCACUAGGAAAUGAUUGUCCAGCUCUGAAAUGACCACAAAUACUUUCAUCAUUUAGUAUAAAGUUGAAGUACCUAGCAUGCUCAAGGUGGCACCCAUCAUUUUCACUGACGUAGUUAGGUAUAUUCAAAAGCCACAGGUGUUACCCAGGGGCAGCAGAGAGGGACAGAGAGGUGAUGGGAAGGGGACAGGAAGAACAGACCCAAAAGGUGUGGGCAGGUAGAAUGUGGCAAAGGCCAGAGGGUACAAUAGGGGAGCGUUGGGCUUCUUCCAAGGUCAGGACGCACCUACGGUGAAGAAGGGGCUAGGUGGAAGGUGACCUGGAGCUGCGGGUAGAGGUCAACUGUCCAACAUGAGGGUCAUUUUGAAGCUUCAAGCUGGCUUCCUCCCUGAUAAAUAUCAAGAGAAAGUACACAGUUCACCUUUCUUCUUUAUCCCCUGACUUUGUAUUCCAGUGUUUGGCACUUUCCCCAAGUCCCCCACACCUUUCCUCUUCAAUAGAUUUUGUUACUCAGAUCUGUGGUACCAUCUCUCAAGACUCAUUAGGUAGCUUGAUAUUAUUUUUACGUGCAGACAAGGAGAAAAAAACUUCCCAGUUUUCAAAUUAUUUUAUUUAUUAUCACACAUUGAGUAGUGUACUUUAGAAUUCUGGGGUCCUUGGGGAUGGGAAUGAAAGUCACAGCCUUGCUAUUGUUAUUAAGACUAUUUUACAUCACUAUUGGGUAGCAGUGCAGCUUUCUUUACAUGUGAAGAGGAAACAGGAAAGUUCCAUAUUGCAAGAACCUGUCUGAGAUACUGGAAAUGCUAUACCAGGAUGUCAAAAGGCACAGGUAGGGUAUUUUAAACAUAGGGAUGCCCCCACCUCUCAAAAUACAAAAUCAUGUUAUUUUAGCCAUAGUGCUGGUUCCCUACAAUGGAUUUUCUUUUUAAUGUAGAACCACUAAUAUAUAUAUAUGAAAAUAAAAUUUACCAAAGUUUUGACUGGUAAAUUACAGGUUGUAUUGACUCACUGUCUCUAACACUAAUGGAAUAAGGGAAGCUAAAUGCUGUUUUCCCAUUGGCUGGGUUGACUGGUCUUCAACAGCUGUGAGAAGACCAGUGUGGUAAACAGGAAACCAUCUCCAUGGCAACGGGCAAUUCAACUUAACUUUUUAACACAUGAAGAGGUAAUUACUUUAUUUUUUAGUUCCAUUUUUAAAAUGUUCGGAGUUCACGAUAGCAGUGAGGACCUGUGGGUCAGGCAU